UCUUAAUUAGAGGAUAGUAUGAAAGGUGAGACAGAUAGGGUCAGGUUUUGAAUUUAAAUUUUUAAUUUAGUCGAUCGGUUAAAAUCCCGAUCUUUUAUUCAGGGACGAGAAGACCCUAUAAAGUUUAACUUUUAAGCCUAGUUGAUAAGGUUAUAGAGUUUUGUUGGGGCAAUACUGUAAGAUAGGAUCUUACUGUUAUGAUCUUUUAUUAAAAUUUAUUUGAGCUACUAUUAGUACUAGUAGUAUAAAUUACCUUAGGGAUAACAGCACAAUUAAGACUCUUAAGUUCAAAUUUACAGUCUUGAUUAUGACCUCGAUGUUG
rnacentral:rRNA from 1 species